rnacentral:rRNA from 1 species
AGGGAGCAAGCGUUAUCCGGAUUUAUUGGGUGUAAAGGGUGCGUAGACGGGAAUGUAAGUUAGUUUUGAAAUCCCUCGGCUCAACUGAGGAAUUGGAACUAAAACUGCAUUUCUUGAGUGCAGGAGAGGAAAGUGGAAUUCCUAGUGUAGCGGUGAAAUGCGUAGAUAUUAGGAGGAACACCAGUGGCGAAGGCGACUUUCUGGACUGUAACUGACGUUGAGGCACGAAAGUGUGGGGAGCAAA